rnacentral:rRNA from 1 species
AUUGAACGCUGGCGGCAUGCCUUACACACGCAAGUCGAACGGCAGCGGACCUUCGGGUGCCGGCGAGUGGCGAACGGGUGAGUAAUAUAUCGGAACGUACCUUUCAGUGGGGGAUAACGUAGCGAAAGUUACGCUAAUACCGCAUAUUCUGUGAGCAGGAAAGCAGGGGAUCGCAAGACCUUGCGCUGAUUGAGCGGCCGAUAUCAGAUUAGCUAGUUGGUGAGGUAAAGGCUCACCAAGGCGACGAUCUGUAGCGGGUCUGAGAGGAUGAUCCGCCACACUGGAACUGAGACACGGUCCAGACUCCUACGGGAGGCAGCAGUGGGGAAUUUUGGACAAUGGGCGCAAGCCUGAUCCAGCCAUGCCGCGUGAGUGAAGAAGGCCUCGGUUGU